UACGUAGGGAGCAAGCGUUGUCCGGAAUCAUUGGGCGUAAAGCGCGCGUAGGCGGUCCUGUAAGUCCGCUGUGAAAGUCAAAGGCUCAACCUUUGAAAGCCGAUGGAUACUGCAGGGCUAGAGUCCGGAAGAGGCGAGUGGAAUUCCUGGUGUAGCGGUGGAAUGCGCAGAUAUCAGGAGGAACACCAAUAGCGAAGGCAGCUCGCUGGGACGGUACUGACGCUAAGGCGCGAAAGCGUGGGGAGCGAACAGG
rnacentral:rRNA from 1 species